GACGAACGCUGGCGGCGUGCUUAACACAUGCAAGUCGAACGGAAAGGCCCUGCUUUUGUGGGGUGCUCGAGUGGCGAACGGGUGAGUAACACGUGAGUAACCUGCCCUUGACUUUGGGAUAACUUCAGGAAACUGGGGCUAAUACCGGAUAGGAGCUCCUGCUGCAUGGUGGGGGUUGGAAAGUUUCGGCGGUUGGGGAUGGACUCGCGGCUUAUCAGCUUGUUGGUGGGGUAGUGGCUUACCAAGGCUUUGACGGGUAGCCGGCCUGGGAGGGUGACCGGCCACAUUGGGACUGAGAUACGGCCCAGACGCCUACGGGAGGCAGCAGUGGGGAAUAUUGCACAAUGGGCGGAAGCCUGAUGCAACAACGCCGCGUGCGGGAUGACGGCCUUCGGGUUGUAAACCGCUUUCGCCUGUGACGAAGCGUGAGUGACGGUAAUGGGUAAAGAAGCACCGGCUAACUACGUG
rnacentral:rRNA from 1 species